rnacentral:piRNA from 1 species
UGAUAUGGUGGCAUAAACUCAUGAGCGGUGU